GUUCGCGCCCGUCAAUUGGUGACUCUGAAUAACUAUAGCUGAUCGCAUGGUCUUGAACCGGCGACGUGUCUAUCAAGUGUCUGCCUUAUCAACUUUCGAUGGUAGUUUAUGUGCCUACCAUGGUUGUAACGGGUAACGGAGAAUAAGGGUUCGACUCCGGAGAGGGAGCCUGAGAAACGGCUACCACAUCCAAGGAAGGCAGCAGGCGCGCAAAUUACCCACUCUCGGCAAGAGGAGGUAGUGACGAAAAAUAACGAGACCGUACUCUUUGAGGCCGGUUAUCGGAAUGGGUACAAUUUAAACCCGUUAACGAGGAUCUAUGAGAGGGCAAGUCUGGUGCCAGCAGCCGCGGUAAUUCCAGCUCUCAAAGUGUAUAUCGUCAUUGCUGCGGUUAAAAAGCUCGUAGUUGGAUCUGCGCCUCAGGACUUGGUCCGCCCACUGGGCGAGAACUAGGCUCCUGGGCUAGUUCUGCUGGUUUUCUCUACGUUGCCUUCAUCGGUCGCGUAGGGUGGCUAGCGAGUUUACUUUGAAAAAAUUAGAGUGCUUCACGCGAGCUUAUGUCUGAAUACUCGUGCAUGGAAUAAUAGAAUAGGAUCUCGGUUCUAUUUUGUUGGUUUUCUGAUCUGAGAUAAUGGUUAAGAGGGACGGACGGGGCAUUCGUAUCGCUGCGUGAGAGGUGAAAUUCUUGGACCGUAGCGAGACGCCCGACUGCGAAAGCAUUUGCCAAGAAUGUCUUCAUUAAUCAAGAACGAAAGUCA
rnacentral:rRNA from 1 species